rnacentral:rRNA from 1 species
AGCAGCCGUGGUAAUUCCAGCUCCAAUAGCGUAUAUUAAAGUUGUUGCAGUUAAAAAGCUCGUAGUUGAAUUUCGGGGUUCUAUCGUUGGUCGGGCAAUUGUCUGUACUGGCAUGUGGAAUUUCUACCUUCUGAGGAACUAUCAUGUUAUUAAUUUAGCGUGGUGGGAAACCAGGACCUUUACUUUGAAAAAAUUAGAGUGUUCAAAGCAGGCUUAUGUCUGAAUACAUUAGCAUGGAAUAAUAAAAUAGGACAGUGGUCCUGUUUUGUUGGUUUCUGAAUCACCGUA